UGGAAGGAGAAAAAGACCCAGAGUCGUUUAGAAAAUCAGUAAGAUCACAGACCAAAUACCAUUUCUUGAAAAAGCAAGAGAAACAUAAUCAGGUUAUUUGGGAGGGCAGCAGACUGAAAGGAGUGUGUGAAGAACAGGAGGAACAAACACUAAAUGGUGAAAAGGACUGGACGAGCCACCCCAUUUCCUGCAGGAUACCAGUCUGGAUCCAGACUUCAGCAGGAAUGCAUUUGAUCCGUGUCAGUGUACACCUUGGAGGAGAAUCAGAAACAAAGGAACACAAAGACAUCCUUUGGUGAAAAUGGAUUUUUCAAAACUAAACCAAAUCAAACAAAUCCACUGCAACUAGCCAGACAACUGAAGAGGGAGCUUAGAAGGAAUUCCCCUCAACUUCACCUUGCAGCGUAACCUUCUCUUUCUGGAGCAAACACAUACACACUCAUCUACAAACACUUCCACAGCCUUCACCUUGUUAAGCCAACUGGCGGAGACUUUAUUUUCUAAGCAAGCAUUAUUUUGCCAUCUCUUCUUAGGAGACCCUCCUUUACAGUAGAGGACACGGGCUGUACUUCAAGCAAAGGAUAUACUGCACUUGCCCCUGAGGCCACUUAAGCAAGUGUCAGUGUUUCCAGUGGACUUUGGAUUGGGCCCCACAGCAUCCAGGCAGCACAACGCGUUUGCAGUCCAUCUAGGUUCAUUUUGGCAAGGGGAAAUACAACACAACCCAGCAACAGCAAAGCAAAGUCCAGAUGCUGCUUAAGCCACAUGUGAUCUUCACUAGCCAACAAAGAAGUCAUGAGGAAAGCGAGAGGUAGAGAAAAUCCUGACAUCCAAAAAUAACAAUAAAAAUACAGAGCCUAGUGGCAGCCUUCCUGAGCGCUCUUUCCCCAGGCAAUAUUCCCAACUUCAGUAGGGAGCUGAAGAGGGCCCCAAUUCUGGUGAGCUCAGCACUGGUUUUUUUAAAAGCUACGUAAAACUCCCAGAACAUGGUUCUCAUUUACUGAUCCAUUCUCCAGCUGUGGUGUGUAGCAGUGUUAAAUAAAGGCUCUGGAUGUGCUUCCUAAAAGAAACAUAACAACACCGACAGUAGAUCAAAGUACUGGACUCUUAGCAAGUCUCCAACCUUUGAACUACUCUUGUUUUCAUCCCUCUCAUUGCCAACACAACAACCUAGGUUAAACAUCCCCAUAUCCAAAGGGGAGGCCGGGUAGCUGUUCUUUUUAGCUAACCAGUGGAGGAAGCUUCAAACUGAGCAAAUCACGCAUUCGGAGUCGCAGCAGCCUUAGCUGGUAGAAUCUGGCAUGGAGAGUUAUGUCUGAUUUUCCCAAAACGUUGCUGCAGGUAGUUUUAAGGCUGUUUGAAGGUUGUAGCGCUCCGAACACCAAGCAUUAUUCCAGGCAAUCUAACUUACAAACUGCCCGUUAUGCUGAUGUUAGGCCCAAGAUGAAGAGCAAUGCCAGUGUUUAUAAAUUUCUCUUUUAUGGCUUGGUCAUUCUAUCUUUAGGCCUUGCAGUGGACCGAUUCUGUGAAAUAAGAUUUUUCUUCUGAGUGCCUGCAA